UCUCUCUCUCUCUCUCUCUCUCUCUCUCUCUCUCUCUCUCUCUCUCUCUCUCUCUCUCUCUCUCUCUCUCUCUCUAAUAGUCCAGGAAUAAGAAACAAAGGCGUAGAAUCGUAUUAUCCAUUCUUUAUUAAUUAGUUUGUUUGUUUAUUUAUUUGUUUAUUAACACCACACAGAGGGAAGUAGCUAUUAAGUCACACACACACGCACACACACACACACACACACAGUCAUGUACAUUAUCCUGAAUAUGGCUGUGAAAUAAAACUUGUUGCAAUGGUGGUAAUAGUAGUCAUUGUAGUAGUAGUAAUAGUAGUAGUAGUAGUAGUAGUAGUAGUAGUAGUAGUAGGCAAUGAUUUCAGUAACUGUAUAUAAUUGCAACAGAGGUAGUAGAAGAGGUAGUCAUUGUAGUAGUAGUAAUAGUAGUAGUAGUACAGGGGCAUAUCCGGAGCUGUAAAGGGGGUGGGGUGGGUGGGGGGGUCCUUAUAGCCCCCCAGUGUUUUCUAUAACGGCCAAAAAAUUCCCCUAAAAGUGCUUAUUAAAAAAAAUAUAUAUAUAAAAAAAUCCCCCACCUGCGCAUACUCCCUUCACUCGCUACUUUCCCGCCAAAACUCAUGACCCUGUGACGCCCUCUGGCCCCCUAAAAAAACCUACCAAAAUUACAGGCCUGGGACAUUGGUUGGCACUUGGAGGGGGGAGUGGCCAGCGAGGCGAGACACAUUAGCCGUGGAGGGUCAGGGUUUUGAAAAAGGGACAUUUCAGGUGCAUUUUCCUGCGGUCAAAAAAUAAAUAAAUAAAUAAAUAAAUAAAAUAAAUAAAAAAUAAUUGGACUUCCAAGUUUUUCGAUUUUACUUUCUCUCUCUCUCUCUCUCUCUCUCUCUCUCUCUCUCUCUCUCUCUCUCUCUCUCUCUCUCUCUCUCUCUCUCUCUCUCUCUCUCUCUCUCUCUCUCUCUCUCUCUUUUUUUUUUAGCAGAUGAGGGAGUGGUCUGACCCCCCCUGACCCCCCCUGAGUACGGUCCUGAGUAGUAGUAGUAGUAGUAGUGGUAGUAGUAGUAGUAGUAAUAGUAGUAGUAGUAGUAGUAGUAGUAGUAGUAGUAGUGGUAGUUUAAUUUCUUAACCAUAAUAUUUAAAACCUGAGUGAAUGAAUAUUAUUUGUUAAACACACACACACACACACACACACACACACACACACACACACACACACACACACACACACACACACACACACACACACACACACACACACACACACA